UACAGAGGUCCCGAGCGUUUGUUCGGAUUCACUGGGCGUAAAGGGUGCGUAGGUGGUGAGGAAAGUCGGAUGUGAAAUCGUCCAAGCUCAACUUGGAAACUAGGCAUUGGAAACUACCUUGCUGGAGGUUUGGAGGGGGGACUGGAAUACUUGGUGUAGCAGUGAAAUGCGUAGAUAUCAAGUGGAACACCAGUGGCGAAGGCGAGUCCCUGGACAACACCUGACACUGAGGCACGAAAGCGUAGGGGAGCAAACAGG
rnacentral:rRNA from 1 species